rnacentral:rRNA from 1 species
GACGAACGCUGGCGGCGCGCUUAACACAUGCAAGUCGAGCGAAGCGGCGGACGGGUGAGUAACACGUGAGUAACCUGCCUUAGACAUUGGGCUAGCCUCUGGAAACCGGGAUUAAUACCAAAUGGUCUAAGAUGGACUCGCUUCCCAUUAGCUAGUUGGUGAGGUAACGGCCCACCAAGGCGACGAUGGGUAGCCGGCCUGAGAUGGUGAACGGCCACAUUGGAACUGAGAAACAGUCCAAACGCUACGGGAGGCAGCAGUGGCGGAUAUUGCACAAUGGAGGGAACUCUGAUGCAGCGACGCCGCGUGAACGAAGAAGGCUGGCGAGUUGUAAAGGUCUUUUAUAUGGGAAGCGGUACCAUAAGAAAAAGCCCCGGCUAACUACGUGCCAGCAGCCGCGGUAAUUC